GAUGAACGCUGGCGGCGUGCCUAAUACAUGCAAGUCGAGCGAAGCGGGGACGGGUGAGUAACACGUGGAUAACCUCCUAUAAGACUGGGAUAACUUCGGGAAACCGGAGCUAAACCGGAUAAUUAUAGAUGGAUCCGCUCUGCAUUAGCUAGUUGGUAAGGUAACGGCUUACCAAGGCAACGAUGCAUAGCCGACCGGAGAGGGGGAUCGGCCACCCGGGAACUGAGACACGGUCCAGACUCAUCCGGGAGGCAGCAGUAGGUAAUCUUCCGCAAUGGGCGAAAGCCUUACGGAGCAACGCCGCGUGAGUGAUGAAGGUCUUCGGAUCGUAAAACUCUGUUAUUAGGGAAGCGGUACCGAAUCAGAAAGCCACGGCUAACUCCGUGCCAGCAGCCGCGGUAAUUC
rnacentral:rRNA from 1 species